GGGACGGAAGUCUGAAAGGUUU
rnacentral:miRNA from 2 species